rnacentral:rRNA from 1 species
UGGGGAAUUUUGGACAAUGGGCGAAAGCCUGAUCCAGCAAUGCCGCGUGUGUGAAGAAGGCCUUCGGGUUGUAAAGCACUUUUGUCCGGAAAGAAAUCCUUGGCUCUAAUACAGUCGGGGGAUGACGGUACCGGAAGAAUAAGCACCGGCUAACUACGUGCCAGCAGCCGCGGUAAUACGUAGGGUGCAAGCGUUAAUCGGAAUUACUGGGCGUAAAGCGUGCGCAGGCGGUUUGCUAAGACCGAUGUGAAAUCCCCGGGCUCAACCUGGGAACUGCAUUGGUGACUGGCAGGCUAGAGUAUGGCAGAGGGGGGUAGAACUCCACGUGUAGCAGUGAAAUGCGUAGAGAUGUGGAGGAAUACCGAUGGCGAAGGCAGCCCCCUGGGCCAAUACUGACGCUCAUGCACGAAAGCGUGGGGAGCAAACAGGAUUAGAUACCCUGGUAGUCCACGCCCUAAACGAUGUCAACUAGUUGUCGGGGAUUCAUUUCCUUAGUAACGUAGCUAACGCGUGAAGUUGACCGCCUGGGGAGUACGGUCGCAAGAUUAAAACUCAAAUGAAUUGACGGGGUCAUAGCUGUUUCCU